rnacentral:rRNA from 1 species
GACGAACGCUGGCGGCGUGCUUAACACAUGCAAGUCGAACGGAAAGGCCCUGCUUUUGUGGGGUGCUCGAGUGGCGAACGGGUGAGUAACACGUGAGUAACCUGCCCUUGACUUUGGGAUAACUUCAGGAAACUGGGGCUAAUACCGGAUAGGAGCUCCUGCUGCAUGGUGGGGGUUGGAAAGUUUCGGCGGUUGGGGAUGGACUCGCGGCUUAUCAGCUUGUUGGUGGGGUAGUGGCUUACCAAGGCUUUGACGGGUAGCCGGCCUGAGAGGGUGACCGGCCACAUUGGGACUGAGAUACGGCCCAGACUCCUACGGGAGGCAGCAGUGGGGAAUAUUGCACAAUGGGCGGAAGCCUGAUGCAGCAACGCCGCGUGCGGGAUGACGGCCUUCGGGUUGUAAACCGCUUUCGCCUGUGACGAAGCGUGAGUGACGGUAAUGGGUAAAGAAGCACCGGCUAACUACGUGCCAGCAGCCGCGGUGAUACGUAGGGUGCGAGCGUUGUCCGGAUUUAUUGGGCGUAAAGGGCUCGUAGGUGGUUGAUCGCGUCGGAAGUGUAAUCUUGGGGCUUAACCCUGAGCGUGCUUUCGAUACGGGUUGACUUGAGGAAGGUAGGGGAGAAUGGAAUUCCUGGUGGAGCGGUGGAAUGCGCAGAUAUCAGGAGGAACACCAGUGGCGAAGGCGGUUCUCUGGGCCUUUCCUGACGCUGAGGAGCGAAAGCGUGGGGAGCGAACAGGCUUAGAUACCCUGGUAGUCCACGCUGUAAACGGUGGGUACUAGGUGUGGGGUCCAUUCCACGGGUUCCGUGCCGUAGCUAACGCUUUAAGUACCCCGCCUGGGGAGUACGGCCGCAAGGCUAAAACUCAAAGGAAUUGACGGGGCCCCGCACAAGCGGCGGAGCAUGCGGAUUAAUUCGAUGCAACGCGUAGAACCUUACCUGGGUUUGACAUGGAUCGGGAGCGCUCAGAGAUGGGUGUGCCUCUUUUGGGGUCGGUUCACAGGUGGUGCAUGGCUGUCGUCAGCUCGUGUCGUGAGAUGUUGGGUUAAGUCCCGCAACGAGCGCAACCCUUGUUCACUGUUGCCAGCACGUUAUGGUGGGGACUCAAUGGAGACCGCCGGGGUCAACUCGGAGGAAGGUGGAGAUGACGUCUAGUCAUCAUGCCCCUUAUGUCCAGGGCUUCACGCAUGCUACAAUGGCUGGUACAGAGAGUGGCGAGCCUGUGAGGGUGAGCGAAUCUAGGAAAACCGGUCUCAGUUGGGAUGGGGGUCGCCAACUCGACCUCAAGAAGUCGGAGUCGUUAGUAAUCGCAGAUCAGCAACGCUGCGGUGAAUACGUUCCCGGG